rnacentral:lncRNA from 1 species
GAGGAUAUAAGAUGGUGUUUUGUUCGUCUUAGCACAGGGAUUGGCACUUGGUAGACACCCACUGGAUGCUUGUUGAAUGAACAAAUGAAUGAAUGGACAAAUGAACAGGGCCUCAAGUGAACAAACAAAUGGCAGUGCUAAUGUGAGAACCUGGGACAAGACUUGGUGAUUUGUAAGCCCCCAGGCAGAGAUGGUAAAGCAUCCUUUGUUAUGUGUAUUCAAGCAUCCAUCCAGCCAAAAGUGCUGGAUUCAGGAAAGAUGGCAUCUAGCCCAGUGAGGUGAGGAAACUGAGGCCCAGAGAGGACAGGUCACUUGAGCAACGUCACACAGGUGGAAGGAGGAUUGUAGAACCUGUGCUUUUUAACAACUGCUGCUGCUGUGACUCACCAGAGUCUUGAGUAUUGAGAAGAAAGAACACACUGAAGGCAGAAGAGUCAGAAAGAGCUGAGCGAGUGAGGAGCUGCCUCCAGUGAAAGUCCAAGGGGCUCACCCCACACCAGCUGAGUGGUCCCAAGCUCCUUCCUGCUGUGUGUGUGUGU